GAUGAACGCUGGCGGCAGGCUUAAUACAUGCAAGUUGAACGGUAACAUAUUGUAGCAAUACGAUGAUGACGAGUGGCGUACGGGUGCGUAACACGUGUGCAACCUACCUUAUACCGGAACAUAACGUCGAGAAAUUGACGCUAACAUUCCAUAACAUUGCUUGAAGGCAUCUUUUAGCAAUUAAAACUCCGGUGGUAUAAGAUGGGCACGCGUUCCAUUAGCUUGUUGGUAAGGUAACGGCUUACCAAGGCUACGAUGGAUAGGGGUUCUGAGAGGAUUAUCCCCCACACUGGAACUGAGACACGGUCCACGACUCCUACGGGAGGCAGCAGUAAGGAAUAUUGGGCAAUGGAGGCAACUCUGACCCAGCCAUGCCGCGUGCAGGAAGACGGCCCUACGGGUUGUAAACUGCUUUUUAAUAGGGAGUAAGGUUAGUUACGUGUAACUAAUUGCAAGUACCUAUAGAAUAAGGAUCGGCUAACUACGUGCCAGCAGCCGCGGUAAA
rnacentral:rRNA from 1 species